CGAUGGGCCGCAGGUUGGAGGCGGCGGCGAGGACGUAGCGGAUCGGAGCCAUUCGGGCCCCAGGCCGGGCCCCCCCUCUGGUGUCUGAGCCGUGGGGAAGGGCUCGAGUCGUGUGUUCAAGAGGCGGCAGGAGGGUCGGGAUUCUUUCCAAGUUCUCCUGCGGCCGUUUGGUUGCAGAGGAAGGGCCGUCAGGGAACGGGCAGUGCCUGACCUGGCGGUGCAGAGCGCUUGGAUGGUCACAAAUUAUGAACGUACACGGCGAGUCUUGCUGUGUUUCAGUGAUUCCACACCGAGAGAUGGCUCCUUCUCAUGUCACCAAAGAGGAGUUCCUGUGGAUGGCCACUUUCUGUGCAAGCAUAAACCUGAUCCUACAUAGAAGAGGUCAGAGUUGUGAUGCUACAGUUAAAUGGAACUGAAUUACUGCAUCAUAUAAAGGAAACUAACACACAAUCUUUUAUGCUUUUGUCACCUGACUGGACUUGAUAGAUAAAAUCAAUACAGGUUUUUCAGUCGAUGAUUCAUCAGCAAUACAUUCUGCUCAGUGUGUACUCUUGUCACAGAAAAAAAUGCCUUGAAUGAGAAAAACUGAUAUUGCCCCAAAUAAAUUGAUACUCAGCUGAAUAUCACAGAUUUCACAGAGUAACCCAGAAAAUCAGAGUGCACCUUACAUUCUUCAUAAAUUUCUGUCCAUCACAGGGGCAAUACCUGUGACUGGUAACACUUUAAAUGUGUCAGUCUGGUUCAAUGAAUGAUUUUAUUAAACAACUGGAAAUUUUA